CCAGCCCGCUCAGAAACUCAAAUGAAUUGACGGGGCCCGCACAAGCGUGGAGCACGUGGUUUAAUUCGAUGCAAACCGAAGAACCUUACCUGGGUUUGACAUGUACGUGUUACUGAGGUGAAAGCUGAGGGACCACAUCUUCGGAUGUGGAGCGUACACAGGUGCUGCAUGGUUGUCGUCAGCUCGUGCCGUGAGGUGUCGGGUUAAGUCCCAUAACGAGCGCAACCCCUACUGCUAGUUGCCAGCGGGUCAUGCCGGGGACUCUAGCGGAACUGCCAGCGUAAGCUGCGAGGAAGGUGGGGAUGACGUCAAAUCAGCACGGCCCUUACGUCCAGGGCUACACACGUGUUACAAUGGCCAGUACAGAGGGCAGCCACCCCGCGAGGGGGCGCUAAUCCUAAAAGCUGGUCCCAGUUCGGAUCGGAGUCUGCAACCCGACUCCGUGAAGCUGGAUUCGCUAGUAAUCGCGCAUCAGCCACGGCGCGGUGAAUACGUUCCCGGGCCUU
rnacentral:rRNA from 1 species